UGCCUACGGGACGCAGCAGUCGGGAAUAUUGCGCAAUGGAGGAAACUCUGACGCAGUGACGCCGCGUAUAGGAAGAAGGUUUUCGGAUUGUAAACUAUUGUCGUUAGGGAAGAUAAAAGACUGUACCUAAGGAGGAAGCCCCGGCUAACUACGUGCCAGCAGCCGCGGUAAUACGUAGGGGGCAAGCGUUAUCCGGAAUUAUUGGGCGUAAAGAGUACGUAGGCGGUUCUUUAAGCGCAGGGUUUAAGGCGAUAGCUUUACUAUCGUUCGCCCUGUGAACUGGGGGACUUUAGUA
rnacentral:rRNA from 1 species